rnacentral:rRNA from 1 species
CCUACGGGCGGCAGCAGUGGGGAAUAUUGGGCAAUGGGCGCAAGCCUGACCCAGCGACGCCGCGUGAGGGAAGACGGUCUUCGGAUUGUAAACCUCUUUCAGCAGGGAAGACAAAAGGACGGUACCUGCAGAAGAAGCUACGGCUAAAUACGUGCCAGCAGCCGAGGCCAUACGUAGGUGGCCAGCGUUACACGGAAUUACUGGGUGAAACGGGUGUGUAGGCGGGUUUGCAAGUCAGAUGUGAAAAUUAUGGGCUCAACCCAUAACCUGCGUCUGAAACUAGAGGUCUUGAGAGGGGGAGAGGUAAACGGAAUUCCCGGUGUAGCGGUGAAAUGCGUAGAUAUCGCGAGGAACACCAGUGGCGAAGGCGGUUUACUGGACCACAACUGACGCUGAGACACGAAAGCGUGGGGAGCAAACAGGAUUAGAGACCCGUGUAGUC